CGAACGGGGAGAUUCAUCGUCAGCGGACGCCGGCUUCGCGUCGGUCGGCGAUGUCCCGCGGGGGCCCUCGCGGCUCUCAGCGCGGGCACGCUGCCGUGCGCCGAUGUAUCCGGCUUCGCCGUCGUGCACUUCUCCCCUGGUAGAACGUCGCGACCCGCUGGGUGUCGGUCUACGGCCCGGGUGCGGUGUCUGACGCGCCGCCGGUAAAACGGCGCGCGUCAAACCCCCGGUCGCCCGGCCGGCUGCCCGGCGGUACGCGCAAGGUAUCAGGCCGCACGCCCCGCGGGUGCGUCGAGGCCGUCGCAAGCGCGCGCCACGGUACACGGAGGUACGGACCUAGCGCCGUCACCGGUCCUGGCCCGCUGUUGGUCGUACGGUUAACCUUCGACAGGCCUACGAACGUCACGGCGCGUCGCGCGCGGGGGUCUCCGAUUCCCGCGCGCUCGCGUCGGCGACCGAUACCGGUCAGCGACGCUACUGCUUUGGGUAC
rnacentral:rRNA from 1 species